UACCAGCUCUCCGAGUGGUGUGGAUGUUUAUUGGGCCUAAAGCAUCCGUAGCUGGCUAAGUUAGUCCCCUGUUAAAUCCAACGAAUUAAUCGUUGGAUCGCGGGGGAUACUGCUUGGCUAGGGGACGAGAGAGGCAGACGGUAUUUCCGGGGUAGGGGUGAAAUCCUAUAAUCCCGGGAAGACCACCAGUGGCGAAGGCUGUCUGCUAGAACGCGCCCGACGGUGAGGGAUGAAAGCUGGGGGAGCGAACCGGAUUAGAUACCCGGGUAGUCCCAGCUGUAAACGAUGCAGGCUAGGUGUUUGGACGGCCACGUGCCGUUCUAGUGCCGCAGGGAAGCUGUUAAGCCUGCCGCCUGGGGAGUACGAUCGCAAGAUUGAAACUUAAAGGAAUUGGCGGGGGAGCACCACAAGGGGUGAAGCUUGCGGUUUAAUUGGAGUCAACGCCGGAAAUCUCACCGGGAGCGACAGCAGUGUGAAGGCCAGAUUAAAGGUCUUGCCAGACGAGCU
rnacentral:rRNA from 1 species